CCCUUAGAUGUUCUGGGCCGCACGCGCGCUACACUGACGAUGGCAACGAGUUUUUCCUUCGCCGAAAGGUGUGGGUAAUCUUUUGAAACAUCGUCGUGCUGGGGAUAGAUCAUUGCAAUUUUUGAUCUUGAACGAGGAAUCCCUAGUAAGCGCGAGUCAUCAGCUCGCGUUGAUUACGUCCCUGCCCUUUGUACACACCGCCCGUCGCUACUACCGAUUGAAUGGUUUAGUGAGGACUCCUGAUUGGCGCCGCCGCCCCGGCAACGGAGCAGCGGACUGCCGAAAAGUUGUUCAAACUUGAUCAUUUAGAGGAAGUAAAAGUCGUAACA
rnacentral:rRNA from 1 species